UUAAAAGACAUCGAUAUACGGAUUUCUCCUGAAAAAAC
rnacentral:rRNA from 1 species